rnacentral:rRNA from 1 species
AUGUUGGGUUAAAUGUCCCCGCACAGCGACGGCGCCCCNGUUAUCCCCAGUACGCCAGCCGGUUCCGGGCUGGGGCACUCUGGANGAGACUGCCCAGGAUAUAACCGUGGAGGAAGGNGGGGACUGACGUCAGAGAUCAUCAUGGCCCCUUAUGAUCUGGGCUACACACGUGCUACAAUGGCGUAUACAAAGGGGAGACGCGANCCCUGCGAAGAGGUAAGCAAAUCCCGAAAAAUUGCGUCCCAGUUCCGGACUUGCAGUCUGCAACUCGAUUGCACNAAAGCUGGAAUCGCUAGUUAAUCGCGGAUCAGAAUGCCGCGGUGAAUACGUUCCCGGGCCUUGUACAC